rfam:Vitis vinifera, whole genome shotgun sequence of line PN40024, unoriented chromosome 4, chr4
GAUGCAGUGAUGAGAAGCUAACAUGUAAGAAGAAUCCAUAUUAAUUGGAUCUUCAAUGAAAUAUUCUUGUUACGCUUGGCUUCUGAGCUCC